AUGGCGACCCCAGACCCCACCAGGAGCGCCCCGCUGCUCUGCUGUGCGCUCCUCUGCCUGCUGCUCGCAGGCUCUGUGGAUGCUGGGGUGAUCCAGACCCCAAGAUAUUACAUCGCCAGUCGCGGGGAGAUGUUGACAGUGGUGUGCGAACAGGACCUGGGUCACGACGAGAUGUACUGGUACCGCCAGGACCCAGGAGGGUCGCUGAGGCUGCUGCACUACAGCAUUAACGUGGACUUUGUGGAAAAGGGGGAGUUGGGCAGUGGGUACCAGGUGUCCCGGAAGGAGAAGAAGAGCUUCCCGCUCACCCUGGAGUCUGCGGUCCCCAACCAGACCGCCCUGUACCUCUGCGCCAGCAGUUAA